rnacentral:rRNA from 1 species
CCUACGGGUGGCAGCAGUGGGGAAUAUUGGACAAUGGGCGAAAGCCUGAUCCAGCCAUGCCGCGUGUGUGAAGAAGGCCUUCGGGUUGUAAAGCACUUUCAGCGGGGAAGAAAGCCUUGGGGCUAAUACCCUCGAGGAAGGACAUCACCCACAGAAGAAGCACCGGCUAACUCCGUGCCAGCAGCCGCGGUAAUACGGAGGGUGCGAGCGUUAAUCGGAAUUACUGGGCGUAAAGCGCGCGUAGGCGGUCUGAUAAGCCGGUUGUGAAAGCCCCGGGCUCAACCUGGGAACGGCAUCCGGAACUGUCAGGCUAGAAUGCAGGAGAGGAAGGUAGAAUUCCCGGUGUAGCGGUGAAAUGCGUAGAGAUCUGGAGGAAUACCAGUGGCGAAGGCAGCCUUCUGGACUGACACUGACGCUGAGGUGCGAAAGCGUGGGUAGCAAACAGGAUUAGAUACCCUUGUAGUC